rnacentral:rRNA from 1 species
UACGGAGGGUGCAAGCGUUGUUCGGAAUUAUUGGGCGUAAAGGGCGUGUAGGCGGAUAUGCAGGUCAGAUGUGAAAUACCUCGGCUCAACUGAGGAAGUGCAUCUGAAACCGCAUGUCUUGAGUACGAGAGAGGAGAGUGGAAUUCCCAGUGUAGAGGUGAAAUUCAUAGAUAUUGGGAAGAACACCGGUGGCGAAGGCGGCUCUCUGGCUCGAUACUGACGCUGAUACGCGAAAGCGUGGGGAG